rnacentral:sRNA from 1 species
UGGGAACUUUUAUCUACCACAUUAAGCUCGAUACUUCAUUCAUGCUCUUACACAUCUCACUGUUGUAUGCUCAAUAUUUGCAACAUUUCUGGUUGAAUAAAGACGCGGAUAUGUCACAUGAAGAAUGAGUAGCUCUUGAGAUGAACAAAUACACAUACGUUUUGUAUUCAGAAUGGGUAGCUCUUGAGAUUGAUGGUUGCAUAAUUAUGUUGUAGCUCUUGAGAUAAAUAAAGACAUACAUGUGUGAUAUGAAGAAUAUGUAGCUCUUGAGAUGAAUAAAGACACAAUUAUGUUGUAUGGGUAGCUCUUGCGAUGAAUAGAUACAUAAUUAUGUUGUAGCUCUUAAGAUUAAUAAAGACACUAUUAUUUGUCACUGAGAAUAGGUAGCUCUUAAGAUGAAUAAAGACAGACAUACAUUGUAUUGAGAAAUGGGUAGCUCUUGAGAUGAAUAAAAGCUCAUAUGUGUCAUGUGAAGAAUUGGUAGCUCUUGAGAUGAAUAAAGAGUCCGGUAUCUUGUCUGAAGAAUUGGUAGCUCUUGAGAUGAAUAAAGACUCGAAUAUGUUGUUUGAAGAAUUGGUAGCUCUUGAAAUGAAUAAAGACUCAGUUGUAUGUUUUGUUACUGGAACGUUGGAGGAGAGGGGAAGGCAUGUGAUCUGGGGUUCAAAUAUUUCUGACAGUGACAGCGAGUGAUCUGAGGUUCAAAUAUUUCUGACAGUGACAGCGAGUGAUCUGAGGUUCAAAUAUUUCUGACAGUGACAGCGAGUGAUCUGAGGUUCAAAUAUUUCUGACAGUGACAGCGAGUGAUCUGGGGUUCAAAUAUUUCUGACAGUGACAGCGAAUGAUCUGGGGUUCAAAUAUUUCUGACAGUGACAGCGAGUGAUCUGAGGUUCAAAUAUUUCUGACAGUGACAGCGAGUGAUCUGGGGUUCAAAUAUUUCUGACAGUGACAGCGAGUCUAGUUAGUUAAUGAUGCAAACAAUCACUCAACUAUUUUCUUCUAUCUAAUGUUGCAGGAUGCCAAAGGCCAGAUGUAUUUCCCGUCCACCAAGAGACACACUCAAGACUUUGCCUACCUCGUCAUAGACCCACUCAAGAGAACUGUCACCUGUUUGUCGCAUACAUUCGGAACAAGUUUCUAAAACAGCAACAGCAAAAACCUUUAGAAAUCUUUUUUUUAUUUGAUUGUUAUUGUUUCGUUUUUUUCCUUUUGUAUUUCUAUUUUGUUCACACUUUUAAUGAAAUCCAAUGAGAACACGGUUGUGCAUUCUUUUCUUUAAUUUAACAUUUUGAAUGUUCGACAAGUUUAAAACGUUUGGUUUUU